rnacentral:rRNA from 1 species
CCUACGGGUGGCAGCAGUGGGGAAUAUUGCACAAUGGGGGAAACCCUGAUGCAGCGACGCCGCGUGAGUGAAGAAGUAUUUCGGUAUGUAAAGCUCUAUCAGCAGGGAAGAAAAUGACGGUACCUGAUUAAGAAGCCCCGGCUAACUACGUGCCAGCAGCCGCGGUAAUACGUAGGGGGCAAGCGUUAUCCGGAUUUACUGGGUGUAAAGGGAGCGUAGACGGCAGCACAAGUCUGGAGUGAAAUGCCGGGGCUUAACCCUAGAACUGCUUUGGAAACUGUGCAGCUUGAGUGCAGGCGAGGUAAGUGGAAUUCCUGGUGUAGCGGUGAAAUGCGUAGAUAUUAGGAGGAACACCAGUGGCGAAGGCAGCUUGCUGAAGCGGAACUGACGCUGAUGCUCGAAAGCGCGGGUAUCGAACAGGAUUAGAUACCCGGGUAGUC